rnacentral:rRNA from 1 species
GACGAACGCUGGCGGCGUGCUUAACACAUGCAAGUCGAACGGAAAGGCCCUGCUUUUGUGGGGUGCUCGAGUGGCGAACGGGUGAGUAACACGUGAGUAACCUGCCCUUGACUUUGGGAUAACUUCAGGAAACUGGGGCUAAUACCGGAUAGGAGCUCCUGCUGCAUGGUGGGGGUUGGAAAGUUUCGGCGGUUGGGGAUGGACUCGCGGCUUAUCAGCUUGUUGGUGGGGUAGUGGCUUACCAAGGCUUUGACGGGUAGCCGGCCUGAGAGGGUGACCGGCCACAGUGGGACUGAGGGACGGCCCAGACUCGUACGGGAGGCAGCAGUGGGGAAUAUGGCACAAUGGGCGGAAGCCUGAUGCAGAAACGCCGCGUGCGGGAUGACGGCCUUCGGGUUGUAAACCGCUUUCGCCUGUGACGAAGCGUGAGUGACGGUAAUGGGUAAAGAAGCACCGGCUAACUACGUG